GUUUAUAUCCCCCACCACCAGGGCUCAACACUAAGUACUAGUGCCGCAGGAGUAAAUGCGAGGCCUCCUGUUGUUCUGGUACUUACUAUAGGGCCCGACAUAUACGAGGGGGUGGAUG
rnacentral:pre_miRNA from 9 species